rnacentral:lncRNA from 1 species
GCUGCGAGGAAUGAGCGGUUGGCUCGGGCUGGUUUCCUCCCUCCACCGCCUGCUUGUUUCGCCAUGCCCGGGCCGGACGGUGGGGCUGCAGCGGCGAAAGCGACUGAAGUCCGGGAGCAGUCGCAUGAGCUUCCCGGUCACCAGGAGGCCCCGGGAACAGACACCUCACCCUGACAUUGUGGCAGGAACUUCUGGAUUGCUUUCCAAAGUGGCUGCACUGUUUUCUAUCCCCACUGGUAAAUGGCAGGAAAACAUCUAAGAAAGGAGGCUCCCCCCUUCCCUUGCAGGGUUACCAGCAAUUAAAAAGAAGUACUAGAGAGGCAAAUAUCGGCAGUAUACAUCUAAGCGCUGGUCGGAAAAGAAGGAACUCAGCCCAAGAACUUGCCCAAUCUGAUACUGGAGGUGCCACUCAAGAACCACUCCCUCCAAGAUGUUUUCCUGGAUUUCCUCAGCCUAAAGUAAUCCCUCUUUUUCCUGGCUAUACCAUCUGGAACAGAUGACUUCCAAGGACACCGUAGCAAAGAAAAAGAGAACUGGAAGCCCAUGUGCCUUAAUCGCUUCAUCCUAGAGGGCGCAGCAGUCUGGAAAUAGAAACAAUGGUGGUGGAUCAAUUCAAUUGAUCCAGAUUUGGAAGUUGCGUGGCAAGUGAGAAGGAUUUGGAUGGUAAUGGUGAGAAAGGAUUUGAAAUAAUUUAUCAAACCUGGUUCAGAUCAAUCCUGGUGCAUAAGUGACUAACAAGGAGCUGGAGUGGAUGGCAUAGCAUAGUGGCUAGAACCCUAAAACAAGGGAUUUUACAUGAAAGUGGAAAGGUAACUGUUUGGUUUUGCAUUUACCCAUUCCCUCUGUUGAGUUUUUUUUUUUUAAUACUGAGUUAUUCACUACUUUGUCUUCUUUUUUUUUGAGACAGAGUCUCAUUCUGUUGCUCAGGCUAGAGUACAGUGGCAAUCUCGGCUCACUGCAGUCUCUACCUCCUGGGUUCCAGUGAUUCUUGUUCCUCAACCUUCUGAGUAGCUGGGAUUACAGAUGCCCACUACCAUGCCCAGCUAAUUUUUGUGUUUUUAUUAGAGAUGGGGUUUCACCAUGUUGACCAGGCUGAUCUCGAACUCCUGACCUCAAGUAACCCACCCACCUCAGCCUCCCAAAGUGCUGGGAUUACAGGCGUAAGCCACUGCACCUGGCCUGCUUUGCCUUCUUAAACAGAUGAUUCAGAACAUAAUAUAACCUUGUCUUGUGACUCAGGGUGGCCAUUAUGAUCAUCUGCUUUUGACCUGGACCUCUGAGGCAUGUAGCAAUAUGUCUUUCCUUAUGUCUUUUCCCUAAGUGUGUUCCGGAUUUUUGUGCUUUUGAAGAAGUUCUGAGAUCAACGUAUUCUUGGUUCUUCUAAUGUGUAGCUGUUUGACUAAGGACUGACUCCAUGCAUCUCCUAUGAAGUGAAGUUCAUGGGUUUUAUGACAGCAAUUUUACAUGCUGCUUAGAUGCUUUUUUCUCAUCUAGGUUUUUAGUUAUAUUAUGGCAGAGAUUAUAAGAAAUCUGAUCUCUAGAGAAGUGCUGGUACUUCUUUAAUUUGGCAUAGACUAUUUUUGGCAAGCUAGUUUUCUAGCAUUGAACACUUUAAUGAAUAAGUUCAUAGUCACCCUAUCCACAUUCUUUUUAAUGGUAGAAAACUGUCUGUCUAAUACAGUAGCCAUUAGCUACAUGUAGAUUUUUAAAUUUAAAUAUACAUUAAUUAAGAGUAGGCUGGGCAUGGUGGUUCAUGCCUGUAAUCCCAGCACUUCAGAAGGCCAAAGUGGGUGGAUCAUUUGAGGUCAGGAGUUCAAGACCAGCCUGGCCAACAUGGUGAAACCCCGUUUCCACUAAAAAUACAAAAAUUAGCUGGGCGUGGUGGUACACACCUGUAAUCCCAGCUACUCGGGAGGCUGAGGCAGGAGAAUUCCUUGAACCCAGGAGGCAGAGGUUUGCAGUAGCCGAAAUCCGCCACUGCACUUCAACCUGGGUGACAGAGCAAGACUCCAUCUC